rnacentral:misc_RNA from 1 species
AACGCACCUUGCGCCCUUUGGCUAUUCCGAAGGGCAUGCCUGUUUGAGUAUCAUGAACACCUCAACUCUCGUGGCCUUGCCAUGAUGAGCUUGGACUUUGGGGGUCUUGCUGGCCUAUGGUUGGCUCCUCUCAAAAGAAUUAGCUUGCCAGUGUUUGGUGGCAUCACGGGUGUGAUAACUAUCUACGCUUGUGGUUUUCCAUCAGGUAACCGUAACCUUCAGUGGUGAGGGUUCGCUGGGGCUCAUAAACGUCUCUCCUCGGUGAGGACAGCUCUUUGAACGUUUGAUCUCAAAUCAGGUAGGACUACCCGCUGAACUUAA